GACGAACGCUGGCGGCAUGCCUAACACAUGCAAGUCGAACGAGACCUUCGGGUCUAGUGGCGCACGGGUGCGUAACGCGUGGGAACCUGCCCUUAGGUUCGGAAUAACUCCCCGAAAGGGGUGCUAAUACCGGAUAAUGUCUUCGGACCAAAGAUUGAUCGCCUUUGGAUGGGCCCGCGUUUGAUUAGCUAGUUGGUAGGGUAAAAGCCUACCAAGGCGACGAUCCAUAGCUGGUCUGAGAGGAUGAUCAGCCACACUGGGACUGAGACACGGCACAGACUCCUACGGGAGGGAGCAGUGGGGAAUAUUGGAAAAUGGGCGAAAGCCUGAGACAGCAAUGCCGUGUGAGUGAUGAAGGCAUUAGGGUUGUACAGCUCUUUUAGCCGGGAUGAUAAUGACAGUACCGGGAGAAUAAGCUCCGGCUAACUCCGUG
rnacentral:rRNA from 1 species